UACGGGGGGGGCGAAGCGUUGUUCGGAAUUACUGGGCGUAAAGGGUUUGUAGGUGGCCCGCUAAGUCACACGUGAAAUCCCUCAGCUUAACUGGGGAACUGCGUGUGAGACUGGCAGGCUCGAGGGCAGGAGAGGAACGCGGAAUUCCAGGUGUAGCGGUGAAAUGCGUAGAUAUCUGGAGGAACACCGGUGGCGAAGGCGGCGUUCUGGACUGUCUCUGACACUGAAGAACGAAAGCCAGGGGAGCAAACGGGG
rnacentral:rRNA from 1 species